UGGUGAAUUUUCCGCAAUGGGCGAAAGCCUGACGGAGCAACGCCGCGUGAGGGAUGAAGGCCUCUGGGCUGUAAACCUCUUUUAUCAAGGAAGAAGAUGACGGUACUUGAUGAAUAAGCCACGGCUAAUUCCGUGCCAGCAGCCGCGGUAAUACGGGAGUGGCAAGCGUUAUCCGGAAUUAUUGGGCGUAAAGCGUCCGCAGGCGGCCCUUCAAGUCUGCUGUUAAAAAGUGGAGCUUAACUCCAUCAUGGCAGUGGAAACUGAGGGGCUUGAGUGUGGUAGGGGCAGAGGGAAUUCCCGGUGUAGCGGUGAAAUGCGUAGAUAUCGGGAAGAACACCAGUGGCGAAGGCGCUCUGCUGGGCCAUCACUGACGCUCAUGGACGAAAGCCAGGGGAGCGAAAGGGAUUAGAUACCCCUGUAGUCCUGGCCGUAAACGAUGAACACUAGGUGUCGGGGGAAUCUACCCCCUCGGUGUCGUAGCCAACGCGUUAAGCGUUCCGCCAGGGGAGUACGCAUU
rnacentral:rRNA from 1 species